rnacentral:rRNA from 1 species
CUGGCAGCGUGCUUAACACAUGCAAGUCGAGCGGUAAGGCCUUUCGGGGUACACGAGCGGCGAACGGGUGAGUAACACGUGGGUGAUCUGCCCUGCACUUCGGGAUAAGCCUGGGAAACUGGGUCUAAUACCGGAUACGACCUCCUAUCGCAUGGUGGGUGGUGGAAAGAUUUAUCGGUGCAGGAUGGGCCCGCGGCCUAUCAGCUUGUUGGUGGGGUAAUGGCCUACCAAGGCGACGACGGGUAGCCGACCUGAGAGGGUGACCGGCCACACUGGGACUGAGACACGGCCCAGACUCCUACGGGAGGCAGCAGUGGGGAAUAUUGCACAAUGGGCGAAAGCCUGAUGCAGCGACGCCGCGUGAGGGAUGACGGCCUUCGGGUUGUAAACCUCUUUCAGCAGGGACGAAGCGCAAGUGACGGUACCUGCGGAAGAAGCACCGGCUAACUACGUGCCAGCAGCCGCGGUAAUACGUAGGGUGCAAGCGUUGUCCGGAAUUACUGGGCGUAAAGAGUUCGUAGGCGGUUUGUCGCGUCGUUUGUGAAAACCAGCAGCUCAACUGCUGGCUUGCAGGCGAUACGGGCAGACUUGAGUACUGCAGGGGAGACUGGAAUUCCUGGUGUAGCGGUGAAAUGCGCAGAUAUCAGGAGGAACACCGGUGGCGAAGGCGGGUCUCUGGGCAGUAACUGACGCUGAGGAACGAAAGCGUGGGUAGCGAACAGGAUUAGAUACCCUGGUAGUCC